AAAUAGCAAAUUUAGUAAACAUAGCAUUGGACUAGAGUAAAUUUUUUUAUUGAAACAUUUAUAAAAAUGAGUUAGAGAUGUUUGAAUUAAAUAGUUCUGGUGAAAAAGCUAGAUAGCUUCUUGUUGUCUUCUUAAUUUUUAAAAAUUGAUGUUAUAUUAUAUUUAGACUAACAGUAAUGGUAGAUUAGCAUGUUCACAACUAAAAUAAAAAAUAUGUCUACUUAGAACUUUUCAUGUAAAAAAAUAGCCCAGACAAGUGGUAGUUAUUUUUUUUUUUCCCACUGGUGAAUUUCAUUCCAAACAAAGAACACUUUUAAUACAACAACUGGCGGAUGAAAAGCAAUCCCCAGACAAUAGAGCCCACAUGAAGGCGGCAACUAAAACCCACAACGGGGCAACGAUAGAUUAAAACUGGAAUUAAAGCUAGAUAACCGACUACCACAUACUUUAGAAAAAAAAAACACAAAAAAAAAACAACUUGACAUAACAGAAUUUAGAACUUAGACGCAGACCAUGAUCGAGAAUUGUCGUUGCUGCCUAUAGCCCGCCACACGAGGUCUUCCACUUCCUCCACCAAACCCACGGCUUACCGCUGCUGCUCAUGCCCGCCAAACGAUAACAACCGAGAAACCAAGACCCUACGACUUCAAAAUCCGACAGAGGGAACUCCACACGGUCCUCACAAUCUUCGGAUAGGGAUGCGACGCCUUCAGCGACCGCUAACACCUAAAUAGAAGCCUAAACAACCUUCACAGAUACGAAGCCUUGCCAAUCGAAAUAUUCCAGACACAACACAGAAUAAUAAACGAAACAGCAAGCGACCAUUGAAACCACUUCAUACGGACUAAACCUGCUAAAUCAACUCUUACAAAACCUUAGAAAUUACCACCACUUUUUUGGUUAAGGGGCACGAGAAGUCAUUUGACGUCAACGGAAUGAGACCCGACUGCAAGGCAUCCAAGGAUACCACUGAUUCAAGCACAAAGACGAACUUAACCGCCAUCAGCUCUGCCUCACCGCCAUAGAAACACCCGGACAUCUCAGACCGUUCCCACACAUCAAACCCUACACGAGAGAUCCAGAAGCUUGAAAAUCGGAUGCUCUCUAGACCUAUCAACUCCGACUCCCCUU
rnacentral:lncRNA from 1 species